GGGCGAGGGCUCAGCGGUGGAGGGAGCCAGGUUGGGGCUGAGCAGAGAGCUCAAGAGAGAAAGAAACCAAGGGAGGGGGUCAGGGUGAAGGGGUCUCAGGAGGUGACAUGGAAGACAACAGGGAGGACAGGUGGAGACCUCAGGGUGCCGGCUGAGUCCCAGGCCCUUCCUGAUGGGUUUGGGUGGAGCAGCUCUGCUGCUCCGGUCCCUCUAAGGAGGGCCUCAGCCUAGGGCGCAGCAGAGAAGGUGGGAUGGAGACUGCCAUCACCCGGAUGCCACCCUGACUCACUGUUGGUCCCCCUACAGGUCAGCAGCGGACUAAAGCCACAACCCCAGCCAGGGAACCCUUCCAAAACACAGAGGAGCCAUAUGAGAAUAUCAGGAAUGAAGGACAAAAUACAGAUCCCAAGCUAAAUCCCAAGGAUCCUGGGCUGUUCAAACCAGAGAGCUGUAAGUCUAGAACAGGAAAAGGAAGGAAAGGCUAAAUCAUUCAUACCAUAAAAUAGAAAAACUACAAAUAUGUAUCUUUCUGCAAGCCUUUCCAGAUCGAUCUGCCUCAUUCCAGGAUGGCCAGCACUCCUGAAGGGACUUCUGCAGAACAAUCUGGACAAUCUCCUCAAAUUCUGCAUUGGUAAGACUUGAUUUUUCCUGCAGAGACAAGGGUAGGGGAGGAAAACCACUUAUCUUUCCAUAGUUUUCCCCUCUGAACAGUCAGGGAAGCCUCCUUCAGAUGAGGCAGUAAGUUUAUAAGACGGAAGGCAUGCAGUCAGCAUACCUAAGGAGGCCAUGAACUAUAUCCCAGAUCUCCUGGGAAUAAAGGAGUCAAAGGAAAGAGAAAAGUGUAUAAUGUCUCUGUCUACUUCUAUCCCCACCUCUAACCCACCUCAUCCCAUUAUUUCCUGCUCAAUUCUUUCAUCAAAACAUUUUUGACCUCUUUGAGAAAAAAAAAAGGAAGCCCUCAAAAAGGAAUACAAACCUGAAACUCUAGGGUGAAUUUCCCCAGUGUGAAAAGACUCUGUUUGUCUAGCCUGAGCCAGGGGUAAGGUAUGAGAAAAUCUCCUACCAGAGCCCACCACUAUGACUGGUACCUUUUCUUUCUUCUCUGCUUGCUUGUUGAUUUGUGCCUUUCUUUUUUUCUCCUGUUCCCUGCUUGGAACAUUCUUCAUGGUUGCUUUUUCCUCUUUCUUCUUUAAACUGGCCUUUGGCAGGCUUAUCCUGGCCUCUGUCUCUGGGGAACUGAUCCCCGGGGUCUCCUCCUUAGGGGAGUUAGGGCUACAAGGUAACAGGCUGUAAGAUUUUUGUGCAGGUGGGGCAAAGAUUCUCUUUGGUCCCUUUCCACAUUCUGAAAGAAAUGUGAUCAAGUGGAAUUUAUGAAACAUACAGUCUAACAGAGAUUGCCAAACAUUACCCUUUGACUAGCCAUAACAGAAUGAUAUGGAGAGAGCUUUUAACAAAUUCAGAUUCCUGGGUCUCUCACUGCUUACUCCACUCCUCAGCCCUGAGAUGCUGAUGAGGUAGUUAGACAUGAGAGGCCUAGCAAUCUGUAAUUUUACAAGGCUAGUUGAUUCUGAUAUACUGCCAGGUUUGGGAACCACUAAGUCAAAGGUGAUAAAUAUAAGCAUGCAGGAAGCUGAGUUAUCCAAAUGUGAAACUGUAUAAUUUGCUCAUUUUUACUUUAGAUAAAAUGUUAUGGAAAAUUAGAGCAAAUUUUUAAAAACUAGUCAAAAUCUAUAAAUUAUUCACAGCUCUUAUGCCACCUCCUCAAUAAAAAUUAUAAUGAUCCUCCCAGGUAUAUCUUUCUUUGAGCUUCCUUAAUACUCUGCACAUAACUGGUGGCAUUUACCACAUUCAACUUUAUGAUAGGUAUUUAAAUGCCUUUUCUCUCCCUGAGUUUAUAUGUUCCUCGAGCAGGACUGUUUUUAAGUCAUAUUUAUUUCACUCAAAGCAUCUAGCAGAGCAGUAAUUUGACCUGAGUGGGCACAGAAUAUAGGGACCCGUACCAUCCUUUGGUGGAAAGGAUGUCCAAAAGGAGAAAAAUGAGAGAAAUGUAUGAAGCGAACCUCCCUCACUCUUGACUCACCUUCUUUAUUCUGCAACGUUGUCAUCAUUCAGCUUAGAAACUACGCUUUGUGUGCCUCUGUUAGAAAAAAGAAAUUAACUGCUAUGACUCUGAUUAAACAA
ensembl:lncRNA Novel transcript